CGGGUGAGUAAUGCCUAGGAAGUUGCCCGGUANAGGGGGAUAACCAUUGGAAACGAUGGCUAAUACCGNNUNNNCUCUAUGGAGCAAAGCAGGGGACCUUCGGGCCUUGUGCUACCGGAUACGCCUAGGUGGGAUUAGCUAGUUGGUGAGGUAAUGGCUCACCAAGGCGACGAUCCCUAGCUGGUCUGAGAGGAUGAUCAGCCACACUGGAACUGAGACACGGUCCAGACUCCUACGGGAGGCAGCAGUGGGGAAUAUUGCACAAUGGGCGAAAGCCUGAUGCAGCCAUGCCGCGUGUAUGAAGAAGGCCUUCGGGUUGUAAAGUACUUUCAGUUGUGAGGAAGGGGUUAAGUUUAAUACGCUUANNUCUUGACGUUAGCAACAGAAGAAGCACCGGCUAACUCCGUGCCAGCAGCCGCGGUAAUACGGAGGGUGCGAGCGUUAAUCGGAAUUACUGGGCGUAAAGCGCAUGCAGGUGGUUCAUUAAGUCAGAUGUGAAAGCCCGGGGCUCAACCUCGGAACUGCAUUUGAAACUGGUGAACUAGAGUACUGUAGAGGGGGGUAGAAUUUCAGGUGUAGCGGUGAAAUGCGUAGAGAUCUGAAGGAAUACCAGUGGCGAAGGCGGCCCCCUGGACAGAUACUGACACUCAGAUGCGAAAGCGUGGGGAGCAAACAGGAUUAGAUACCCUGNNANUCCACGCCGUAAACGAUGUCUACUUGG
rnacentral:rRNA from 1 species